ACGAAGGGUGCAAGCGUUAAUCGGAAUUACUGGGCGUAAAGCGUGCGCAGGCGGCUCGUUGUGUCGGCGGUGAAAUCCCCCGGGCUUAACCUGGGAACUGCAUUGGUGACUGCAUCGCUCGAGUAUGGCAGAGGGGGGUAGAAUUCCACGUGUAGCAGUGAAAUGCGUAGAGAUGUGGAGGAAUACCGAUGGCGAAGGCAGCCCCCUGGGUCAAUACUGACGCUCAUGCACGAAAGCGUGGGGAGCAAACAGGA
rnacentral:rRNA from 1 species